rnacentral:rRNA from 1 species
GACGAACGCUGGCGGCGUGCCUAAUACAUGCAAGUAGAACGCUGAAGAGAGGAGCUUGCUCUUCUUGGAUGAGUUGCGAACGGGUGAGUAACGCGUAGGUAACCUGCCUUGUAGCGGGGGAUAACUAUUGGAAACGAUAGCUAAUACCGCAUAACAAUGGAUGACACAUGUCAUUUAUUUGAAAGGGGCAAUUGCUCCACUACAAGAUGGACCUGCGUUGUAUUAGCUAGUAGGUGAGGUAACGGCUCACCUAGGCGACGAUACAUAGCCGACCUGAGAGGGUGAUCGGCCACACUGGGGCUGAGACACGGCCCAGACUCCUACGGGAGGCAGCAGUAGGGAAUCUUCGGCAAUGGGGGCAACCCUGACCGAGCAACGCCGCGUGAGUGAAGAAGGUUUUCGGAUCGUAAAGCUCUGUUGUAAGUCAAGAACGAGUGUGAGAGUGGAAAGUUCACACUGUGACGGUAGCUUACCAGAAAGGGACGGCUAACUACGUGCCAGCAGCCGCGGUAAUACGUAGGUCCCGAGCGUUGUCCGGAUUUAUUGGGCGUAAAGCGAGCGCAGGCGGUUUGAUAAGUCUGAAGUUAAAGGCUGUGGCUCAACCAUAGUUCGCUUUGGAAACUGUCAAACUUGAGUGCAGAAGGGGAGAGUGGAAUUCCAUGUGUAGCGGUGAAAUGCGUAGAUAUAUGGAGGAACACCGGUGGCGAAAGCGGCUCUCUGGUCUGUAACUGACGCUGAGGCUCGAAAGCGUGGGGAGCGAACAGG